rnacentral:lncRNA from 1 species
AGUGCCCAGCCUUUUCCUGUGCUUCCCAUUGGCUGAAAUCGAAGGAAAGCCAGAAACUUGGCAUCAUGGGAUGUCAUCUGACAAAGGGAAGAAUGGCUCUGGCAUGAGGAUGGGGAAAAGGAAAAAAGAAGGGACAAAGGGAGUCAUGGUGGAACAAUACCAGUAAAGGGCUAAAAAACUCCCAUGUGUUCCUCCGAAUGGGAGUCGUAGGUAGCCAUGGUUUCAGAGCGCACAGCUGUGGGAAGAAGCUAGAAGCUGAUGAGAAGCAGGCGGGGAAGACAAGCUCUGUGGGUGAGACUUAGCAUCAGCAGGAUCCUGCUGCAAGGACCACCCUCUAGCCGGAGGCUGCCUGGGACCCCACAAGGAGAGCCUGUGCCCCUAACCAGGCUCCAGGCUGUUGGGAGAUGCCUCUGAACUGAGACCCCCAAGCUGUUUGCCUCCCUUGGUGGCCCUUCAGCAGACAAAGCCCUCAUUAAGAUUUCUUUCAGCUUCUGUCUUCUUGGAACACCUGAGACAAGAGAAUGAUGAAUGGCAGCCUGGAGAUCAGCCUGGAGCCACACCUUGCCCUUUGAGUAGCCUCUCCCAUGACAAUCAACACUUUUCUAGAGCCUGC